CCCAGACUCCUACGGGAGGCAGCGGUGGGGGAUAUUGCACAAUGGGGGGAACCCUGAUGCAGCGACGCCGCGUGGGUGAAGGAGUGCUUCGGCAUGUAAAGCCCUAUCGGCAGGGAAGAAGCAAGACGGUACCUGACUAAGAAGCCCCGGCUAACUACGUGCCAGCAGCCGCGGUAAUACGUAGGGGGCAAGCGUUAUCCGGAUUUACUGGGUGUAAAGGGAGCGUAGACGGCGAUGCAAGCCAGAUGUGAAAGCCCGCGGCUCAACUGCGGUAGUGCAUUUGGAACUGUAUGGCUGGAGUGCAGGAGAGGCAGGCGGAAUUCCUAGUGUAGCGGUGAAAUGCGUAGAUAUUAGGAGGAACACCUGUGGCGAAGGCGGCCUGCUGGACUGUAACUGACGUUGAGGCUCGAAAGCGUGGGGAGCAAACAGGAUUAGAUACCCCAGUAUC
rnacentral:rRNA from 1 species